rnacentral:rRNA from 1 species
CGAGCGAGAGAGAGCUUGCUUUCUCGAGCGAGUGGCGAACGGGUGAGUAACGCGUGAGGAACCUGCCUCAAAGAGGGGGACAACAGUUGGAAACGACUGCUAAUACCGCAUAAGCCCACGGCUCGGCAUCGAGCAGAGGGAAAGGGAGCAAUCCGCUUUGAGAUGGCCUCGCGUCCGAUUAGCUAGUUGGUGAGGUAACGGCCCACCAAGGCGACGAUCGGUAGCCGGACUGAGAGGUUGAACGGCCACAUUGGGACUGAGACACGGCUCAGACUCCUACGGGAGGCAGCAGUGGGGAAUAUUGCACAAUGGGGGAAACCCUGAUGCAGCGACGCCGCGUGGAGGAAGAAGGUCUUCGGAUUGUAAACUCCUGUUGUUGGGGAAGAUAAUGACGGUACCCAACAAGGAAGUGACGGCUAACUACGUGCCAGCAGCCGCGGUAAAACGUAGGUCACAAGCGUUGUCCGGAAUUACUGGGUGUAAAGGGAGCGCAGGCGGGAAGACAAGUUGGAAGUGAAAUCUAUGGGCUCAACCCAUAAACUGCUUUCAAAACUGUUUUUCUUGAGUAGUGCAGAGGUAGGCGGAAUUCCCGGUGUAGCGGUGGAAUGCGUAGAUAUCGGGAGGAACACCAGUGGCGAAGGCGGCCU